UACAGAGGGUGCAAGCGUUAAUCGGAAUUACUGGGCGUAAAGUGUGCGCAGGCGGCCGAGCAAGUCGAGUGUGAAAGCCCCGAGCUUAACUUGGGAAUUGCGCUCGAAACUACUUGGCUGGAGUGUGGCAGAGGAAGGUGGAAUUCCAGGUGUAGCGGUGAAAUGCGUAGAGAUCUGGAGGAACACCGAUGGCGAAGGCGAGUCUCUGGGAUGAUGCUGACGCUGAGGCGCGAAAGCCAGGGGAGCAAACGGG
rnacentral:rRNA from 1 species